AACGAACGCUGGCGGCAUGCCUAACACAUGCAAGUCGAACGAGACCUUCGGGUCUAGUGGCGCACGGGUGCGUAACGCGUGGGAACCUGCCCUUAGGUUCGGAAUAACUCCCCGAAAGGGGUGCUAAUACCGGAUAAUGUCUUCGGACCAAAGAUUUAUCGCCUUUGGAUGGGCCCGCGUUGGAUUAGCUAGUUGGUAGGGUAAAAGCCUACCAAGGCGACGAUCCAUAGCUGGUCUGAGAGGAUGAUCAGCCACACUGGGACUGAGACACGGCCCAGACUCCUACGGGAGGCAGCAGUGGGGAAUAUUGGACAAUGGCCGAAAGCCUGAUCCAGCAAUGCCGCGUGAGUGAUGAAGGCCUUAGGGUUGUAAAGCUCUUUUACCCGGGAUGAUAAUGACAGUACCGGAAGAAUAAGCCCCGGCUAACUCCGUG
rnacentral:rRNA from 1 species